CACCUCACAGAGCAAGACAUGUAAAAGGCACAAAAUAAUAGCCAGUGUCCUCCGUUGCCUUGCCUCAUGAUGAUGAUGAUGAUGAUAAAGGAAACUUAUUGAUAAGGGCCACACACUGCAGAGCCUGAUGGCGGCCGAGAGAGAAAGCUACUUACUGCAGCACACACUCAGGCACCUGCACGUGCUCCAUGGGGAUGAGCAGGCUUAGCUCGUGCAGAGUAUACACGUAACGUAUCUUGUCCAGGAACUUCACGCUAUGUCAAAGUUAGAAAGAAAGUUUGGUUCAAUUACCUUUUAUGGUAGUGGUGAUAAGACAAAACAUUUAUUAUACACACAAUCAUUAAACAAAAGGUAUCAAAAAAAAAAAAAAAAGCGAUGUUCCCUGUUAAGUCAGGUGUUUUUACUUCCUGUAUCGUCUGAUUAGUUUUUCAUUUGCACCUGUCAGCUUCUCCCAGCUACUCGCCUCCAGCCCAGGUGUUCCUUGUCUUGUCAAUUUGUUUGUAUUUCGUUCCCUGCUUUCUUUCUUAGGGCAACACUAGGCAGCUUUUCAACCUUUAUAAAAUAUUUGGUAUAACAUUUCAACCUUUAUAUAAUAUUUGGUAACACUUUACAAUAAGGGUCCCUUAAUUAAACAUUAGUUAAUGCAUUUUUAGACAACUCAUGUUUAAGUAACAUGGCAAUAAUUCAUUUAAUCCCUUAUCUAACAUUUAUUAAUAUAUCAAUGAACAUAAAUUAAUGCAUCAUUUAAUGCAUUUUAAAACAAUAACUAAUGUUUAAGUAACAUUACAAUAAUUCAUAUAAUCCCUUAUUUAACAUUUGGUAAUAUAUUAAUUAACAUUAGUUAAUGCAUUAGUUAAUGCACAACCAGACAGUAACUAAUAGUUUGGUAAAAUAAAAUUAAAAAUAGGCCUAUAUAGGGUUAGGGUUUGUAAACUUAGGCAUUUAUAAUUUCUUAGUUAAGGGACGCAUGUGCUACACUUUACAACAAGGGUCCAAAAAGA